rnacentral:rRNA from 1 species
GAUCAUUACCGAAUUUAAUUCCGGGGUUGUAGCUGGCCAUUAUUUUGGCAUGUGCACGCCCUGGUAAUCCAAAUCAUUUAUACCUCUGUGCACUAUUAUGUGGGAUUGAUGAGGCUUUGGUGCUUGCGCCAAUGGCAUUAUCAUUCUCAUGUUUCACAUACACUCUUUAGUAUAGAAUGUUAUUGCGUUAGACGCAUCUUAAUACAACUUUCAGCAACGGAUCUCUUGGCUCUCGCAUCGAUGAAGAACGCAGCGAAAUGCGAUAAGUAAUGUGAAUUGCAGAAUUCAGUGAAUCAUCGAAUCUUUGAACGCACCUUGCGCUCCUUGGUAUUCCGAGGAGCAUGCCUGUUUGAGUGUCAUGGUAUUCUCAAUCCAUCUGGUUUUGUCAAAGAAACUUGGUUGGACUUGGAUAUGGAGGUUUCUUGCUGGUCUUUACUGAUCGGCUCCUCUGAAAUACAUCAGCAUAAAUGGAACGCUGUUUUCAGUGUGAUAAUUAUCUACACUGUGAUUUGGCCUUGCUAUUUUUGCUUCUAAUUGUCUGCAUGAGUAGACAACUUUAUUGACAUCUGACCUCAAAUCAGGUAGGACUACCCGCUGAA